AAGUCUGAGGUCAGAUUUAAACCCAAGUCCUCCUGAUUCAAAGGUCUCUCUAUCCACUUUGCUACCUGGCUUCCCCCCUCCACCCCCCCCAUUGUCCUUGCCCCUUAAGAUACAUUUAGAUCCUGAAUACACCAUCUUAUGUAUUGUCUGUUCCUUCUAAUUUUAUGCUGCCUCUAAAUGUUAUAAGAAAGUUUUGUUUUUUUUUAAAUCAACCACUAAUUAACAAAGCUAACAUUCAGACCCAGGUCUUCUGAGCCUUAUUCCAGUGUCUUUUAAUUCUUUCUUUUUUCUUUUCUUUUCUUUUCUUUUUUGGUUCUUAAUAUAUUUUAUUUGGGCUUUGAUAGUAUAGAUUUGGUUAAAUUCAGACUGAUCAUUCAUUCAUUAUGGACCAGUGAUGAUCUAUACAUUCUGUAAUUUAUUUGGCUCUUCUGCUGACUUUGGUGCAUUUUGUUUCCAGGAUUUAGUUAUCGUGCCACACCUAAUUUAGAAGACAGUUAAAAAUAUAGUUUUGCAAAAUGAGAAUCCCAAACAACUUGGGCUCAUGGAAUUUUUUCUGAUGUCUUCUUCACUAGGAAGCAUUUAAAAACAAUGCUGGGAAAUAAAAAGAAGAACCGCCCUAUUCGACUUUUCCAUGGAAGUACAUAGAGUACCCAGGAAGUGUGGCUGACAUUUAUCAUUAAUAACUUUUGUGCUUCCCAUUUAUUCACUGCCAAGUAAAGCCACCAUCACUCAAAUUCAGACUGCUGCCUAGUGCCAGGUGCAUGCAGACGAUAGGCGGAAAAGACCAAGAAAAACUAUUCGGACUCUGGGAGGGUCUGGAAAGUCACCGACUUUUACACUCUGUGCUCGCAGUGGGGACGUGUGGCUUCUGGCAAGCAAGCAUCAUCUCUAUCCUUGGUCAAGUGCCAUUGAUCUGCUUGGGGGAAUAGGCACCGCUGACACUCCAUCCUAAGGAACAAACUUGGACUGAGACACUAAGAAAGACAGUCAUUCUACCUGAGGGACCUCCAAUUCAUAAUAAAUGAUGUGGUUUAAAAGAGUAACUUUUGCCA
rnacentral:lncRNA from 1 species